rnacentral:lncRNA from 1 species
GGGAUCCUGGCUGUUCCCAAAUCUCGCCUGCCUGCGAGGAGCCAGCGUGCCCCGGGCAGCUGAUCUCAACCUGUGAUUGUGACAUCACCCCUACCUGAGGAAGCCUCUUCCAGCCUGCUCAAGGUUGCCGUAGUUAGGUUUACCCUCCCUUCCUUCCCUCACCCCGUCCUUUCCCUCAUCCCUGCCGCUUCCUCUGUCCCACGCGGCUUUCAGAGAUGCAUAGUGCAGCCCCUCGGUAAAGGUGCAGCUAAUGGCCCGUGGGCCUAGCAGUUGUCAGGCCUUUUGGGAGCCCAUGAUGGGAGCUCGCUGGUAAGUGAAACCGUCAAUUAACUGCCUAAAAUGACAAUACCCCGUCUCUGGUAUCUUUGCACUUGCCUCUUCAAAGCCACCUUUUCCUUUUCUCUCUCUCUGGACUGUCACAGAUCCUCCUCUGUACCCCAAGAACACCCCAUUGGAUUUCCAGGCUGGCUGCUUGGCCUACACACCUGGGUCAGGCCUCUCGCAGGGAUGCGCCUGCCACUGUAAUAAAGAGGAGAAAACGUCACACGGGAAAGGCCUGACUCCUUCGUACAAUCAGAAUACUCAACUGCACAGAGAAGGGACCCCUUUAAGCCACUUUGGGAGCCACAUCCACCACUCUGUGACUCCCACACAGGCUGGUUCCCAGGUAUCAGGUGUCCUAGUGUUAACACGGGCCAAAAGGACAAAACAGGACCCUAGGUCCUUCCCAAAACAUUAGGAAAGUUUGUGCACUGAGUUUUUCAGAUUAACUAAGUAAUU